UUCCAGACUCCUACGGGAGGCAGCAGUGGGGAAUAUUGCACAAUGGGGGAAACCCUGAUGCAGCAACGCCGCGUGAGUGAAGAAGUAUUUCGGUAUGUAAAGCUCUAUCAGCAGGGAAGAAGAUGACGGUACCUGAAUAAGAAGCCCCGGCUAACUACGUGCCAGCAGCCGCGGUAAUACGUAGGGGGCAAGCGUUAUCCGGAUUUACUGGGUGUAAAGGGAGCGCAGACGGCAGUGCAAGUCUGGAGUGAAAGCCCGGGGCCCAACCCCGGAACUGCUCUGGAAACUGUGCGGCUAGAGUACUGGAGGGGCAGGCGGAAUUCCUAGUGUAGCGGUGAAAUGCGUAGAUAUCAGGAGGAACACCGGCGGCGAAGGCGGCCUGCUGGACCGCGACUGACGUUGAGGCUCGAAAGCGUGGGGAGCGAACAGGAUUAGAUACCCUCGUACC
rnacentral:rRNA from 1 species